rnacentral:rRNA from 1 species
UACCUGGUUGAUCCUGCCAGUAGUCAUAUGCUUGUCUUAAAGAUUAAGCCAUGCAUGUCUCAGUAUAAGUCUUCACAUGGCGAAACUGCGAAUGGCUCAUUAAAACAGUUAUAGUCUAUUUGACGGUCAACAGUUACAUGGAUAACUGCGGUAAUUCUGGAGCUAAUACAUGCGAAAAAACCCGACUUCUCGGAAGGGUCGUAUUUAUUAGAUACAGAACCAAUGCUCCUCGGAGUUUUUGGAUGAUUCAUAAUAAACGAAUGGAGCGCAUUGCUUGUGCUGGCGCUAUGUCAUUCGAGUUUCUGACCUAUCAGCUUUCGACGGUAGUGUAUUGGACUACCGUGGCAUUGACGGGUAACGGAGAAUUAGGGUUCGAUUCCGGAGAGGGAGCCUGAGAAACGGCUACCACAUCUAAGGAAGGCAGCAGGCGCGUAAAUUACCCAAUCCUGACGCAGGGAGGUAGUGACAAGAAAUAUCAAAAGAUUGAACACAGUUCUGUCUUAUUGGAAUGAGUACAUUCUAAACCCCUUAACGAGAACCAAUUGGAGGGCAAGUCUGGUGCCAGCAGCCGCGGUAAUUCCAGCUCCAAUAGCGUAUACUAAAGUUGUUGCAGUUAAAAGCUCGUAGUUGGAUUUCUGUGCAUCGGUUGUUGGGCUACGCUUAUGGUGUGGUCCCUUCACCGCUGUACAUCCUGUUGGCAGACACGUGCUGGCAUUAAUUUGUCGGUGCGGGGAGACCACUCGUUUACUUUGAGAAAAUUAAAGUGUUCAAAGCAGGCGCUCGCUUGAAUACAUUAGCAUGGAAUAAUAGUAUAGGACUUUGAUCUUAUUUGUUGGUUUUAAAGAUCAAAGUAAUGAUUGAUAGGGACAGUUGGGGGCAUCAGUAUUCUGAAGCGAGAGGUGAAAUUCUUGGACCUUCGGAAGACUAACAACUGCGAAAGCAUUUGCCAAGGAUGUUCUCUUUAAUCAAGAACGAAAGUUAGGGGAUCGAAGACGAUCAGAUACCGUCGUAGUCUUAACUAUAAACUAUGCCAGCUAGGGAUCGGUGAACGUUGUUUUCGACUUCAUCAGCACCUUAUGAGAAAUCAAAGCAUUUUGGGUUCCGGGGGGAGUAUGGUCGCAAGGCUGAAACUUAAAGGAAUUGACGGGAGGGCACCACCAGGAGUGGAGCCUGUGGCUUAAUUUUGACUCAACACGGGAAAACUUACCAGGUCCGGACAUAGUAAGGAUUGACAGACUGAAGGUCUUUCUUGAUUCUAUGGGUGGUGGUGCAUGGCCGUUCUUAGUUGGUGGAGUGAUUUGUCUGGUUAAUUCCGUUAACGAACGAGACCCCAGCCUGCUAAAUAGGUGGUUCCAUUCUGAUGGGAUCUUCUUCUUAGAGGGACUAUUGAGUGUCUAACCAAUGGAAGUUUGGGGCAAUAACAGGUCUGUGAUGCCCUUAGAUGUUCUGGGCCGCACACGGGCUACACUGCGGGGUUCAACGAGUAUAUACCCUGCGUAGAAAUGCGUAGGAAACCUUAUGAAAACCCCGCGUGCUUGGGAUAGACUAUUGCAAUUAUUAGUCUUCAACGAGGAAUUCCUAGUAAACGCAAGUCAUCAGCUUGCAUUGAUUACGUCCCUGCCCUUUGUACACACCGCCCGUCGCUCCUACCGAUUGGAUGAAUCGAUGAGCCUUUUGGAGAAUUCCAGCCGACUACAUUGUACGACGCAGGUUUCGAAGUUAUGCAAAUCACUUCAUCUAGAGGAAGGAGAAGUCGUAACAAGGUUUCCGUAGGUGAACCUGCAGAAGGAUC